rnacentral:rRNA from 1 species
AUGGCCGCUCUACCAUGGUUCAUCCGCACUCCCUUCUUCAUCCUCGUACUACUACUACUCUCCACCGUCUCAUCUUCUUCGUCUUCCCUCACCCCGGCCAACAGCAAUGGCGGCGACACCGACCUCGCCGCCCUGCUCGCCUUCAAAGCCCAGCUCUCCGAUCCUCUCCGCGUCCUGGCCCUCAACUGGACGACCGGCACGUCCUUCUGCCGCUGGGCCGGCGUCUCGUGCGGCCGACGCAGGCAGCGGGUCACCGCUCUAUGGCUGCCGAACACGCCCCUCAAUGGAUCCGUGUCGCCGCACAUCGAAUACGGGUCUCUUGGGAAAGCAUCACGGAAGAGCGAUGUGUUCAGUUAUGGAAUUAUGCUUCUUGAAAUGUUCACUGGAAGGAGACCCACUGAUGCUAUGUUCGGUGCACAACUAACCCUUAGGCAGUGGGUCCAUCAUGCAUUUCCUUCUGAGCUCAUCCAAGCCGUUGAUGGCCAGCUACUGCACGGCUCUUCUAUUUCUAGCUCCAGCUUGGAUGAUGGUUUUCUUGUGCCGGUCUUCGAGUUGGGAUUGCACUGCUCCAGCGACUUGCCUGAUCAAAGGAUGGCGAUGCGCGAUGUAGUCGUGACGCUGAAGAAGAUCAAAGCCGAGUACAUCAAAUUGACAGCAACCAUGCCACAUUGUGGAACACAAUGA